UAGGGAAUCUUCCAUAAUGGACGAAAGUCUGAUGGAGCAACGCCGCGUGAGUGAAGAAGGUUUUCGGAUCGUAAAGCUCUGUUGUUGGUGAAGAAGGAUAGAGGCAGUAACUGGUCUUUAUUUGACGGUAAUCAACCAGAAAGUCACGGCUAACUACGUGACAG
rnacentral:rRNA from 1 species